rnacentral:rRNA from 1 species
AGCGCAGGCGGUUUCUUAAGUCUGAUGUGAAAGCCUUCGGCUCAACCGAAGAAGUGCAUCGGAAACUGGGAAACAUGAGUGCAGAAGAGGACAGUGGAACUCCAUGUGUAGCGGUGAAAUGCGUAGAUAUAUGGAAGAACACCAGUGGCGAAGGCGGCUGUCUGGUCUGUAACUGACGCUGAGGCUCGAAAGCAUGGGUAGCAAACA